GUCGAACGAGAAAACUGAUUAGUUUACUAAGAUGUUUUCUAGUGGCGGACGGGUUAGUAACACGUGAGCAACUUGCCUCGAAGCGGGGGAUAGCCUUCCGAAAGGGAGAUUAAUACCGCAUGUGGCCCCCUUUUAUUAGGGUGGUUAAAGGUGCCUUCGGGUAUCGCUUCGAGAUGGGCUCGCGGCCUAUCAGCUUGUUGGUGAGGUAAUGGCUCACCAAGGCUACGACGGGUAGCUGGUCUGAGAGGACGAUCAGCAACACUGGAACUGAGACACGGUCCAGACACCUACGGGUGGCAGCAGUCGAGAAUCAUUCACAAUGGGGGCAACCCUGAUGGUGCAACGCCGCGUGGAGGAUGAAGGCCCUAGGGUCGUAAACUCCUGUCAUAUGAGAGUAAGGCAUAUGUGUUAAUACCAUGUAUGUUUGAUAGUAUCAUAAGAGGAAGGGACGGCUAACUUCGUGCCAGCAGCCGCGGUAAUACGAAGGUCCCGAGCGUUAUUCGGAAUCACUGGGCGUAAAGAGUACGUAGGCGGUUUGGUAAGUCAGGUGUGAAAUCCCGGAGCUCAACUCC
rnacentral:rRNA from 1 species